rnacentral:rRNA from 1 species
GGGUGCCUUAACACAUGCCAAGUCGACGAAGUAUGUUUUUCGGAAUAUACUUAGUGGCGGACGGGUGAGUAACGCGUGAACAAUCUGCCCUAUACAAAGGAAUAGCCUCGGGAAACUGGGAUUAAAACCGUAUAAAGCUUUCAUACCGCAUGAUAAGAAAGCCAAAUUGAAUAAGAGGUAUAGGAUGAGUUCGCGUCUGAUUAGCUAGUUGGUAAGGUAAUGGCUUACCAAGGCGACGAUCAGUAGCCGGCCUGAGAGGGUGAACGGCCACACUGGAACUGAGACACGGUCCAGACUCCUACGGGAGGCAGCAGUGGGGAAUAUUGCACAAUGGGCGAAAGCCUGACGCAGCGACGCCGCGUGAGUGAAGAAGGUCUUCGGAUCGUAAAACUCUGUCCUUGGUGACGAAAAAAAUGACGGUAGCCAAGGAGGAAGCCCCGGCUAACUACGUGCCAGCAGCCGCGGUAAUACGUAGGGGGCGAGCGUUGUCCGGAUUUACUGGGCGUAAAGGGUGAGUAGGCGGUUGUAUAAGUCAGAUGUAAAAGGCACAGGCUUAACUUGUGUAAGCAUUUGAAACUGUACAACUUGAGUGCAGGAGAGGUAAGUGGAAUUCCUAGUGUAGCGGUGAAAUGCGUAGAUAUUAGGAGGAACACCAGUGGCGAAGGCGACUUACUGGACUGUAACUGACGCUGAGUCACGAAAGCGUGGGUAGCAAACAGGAUUAGAUACCCUGGUAGUCCACGCUGUAAACGAUGAGUGCUAGGUGUUGGCCAGCGAUGGUCAGUGCCGAAGUUAACACAAUAAGCACUCCGCCUGGGGAGUACGGUCGCAAGACUGAAACUCAAAGGAAUUGACGGGGACCCGCACAAGCAGCGGAGCAUGUGGUUUAAUUCGAAGCAACGGCGAAGAACCUUACCAAGGUUUGACAUCCCCUUGACAGAUGCAG